UACGUAGGUGGCAAGCGUUGUCCGGAUUUACUGGGCGUAAAGGAUGCGUAGGCGGAUUUUUAAGUGGGAUGUGAAAUUCCGAGGCUCAACCUCGGCGCUGCAUUCCAAACUGGAAGUCUAGAGUGCGGGAGAGGAAAGUGGAAUUCCUAGUGUAGCGGUGAAAUGCGUAGAGAUUAGGAAGAACACCAGUGGCGAAGGCGACUUUCUGGACCGUAACUGACGCUGAUGCAUGAAAGCGUGGGGAGCAAACAGG
rnacentral:rRNA from 2 species